rnacentral:rRNA from 1 species
CGCGGUAAUUCCAGCUCCAAUAGCGUAUAUUAAAGUUGUUGCCGUUAAAAAGCUCGUAGUUGAACCUUGGACCUGGCUGAUCUGUCCUCCUAAUCGAGCGUACGGAUUCGGUCGGGUCUUUCCUUCUGGGGAGCCCUAUGUCCUUUACUGGUCGUAGCGGGGAACCAGGACUUUUACCUUGAAAAAAUUAGAGUGUUCAAAGCAGGCCUUUGCUCGAAUACAUUAGCAUGGAAUAAUAGAAUAGGACAUCGGUUCUAUUUUGUUGGUUUCUAGGACCGCUGUAAUGAUUAAUAGGGAUAGUCGGGGGCAUCCGUAUUCAAUUGUCAGAGGUGAAAUUCUUGGAUUUAUUGAAGAC